rnacentral:SRP_RNA from 1 species
CCGGACCCCCCGUGUGGCGGCAUCCUGCUGAACCCCCCCAGGGCCGGAAGGCAGCAAGGGUAAGUGGGCUCUGCCGGGUGCGCGGGGGGUCUUUUGU